rnacentral:rRNA from 1 species
UACAGAGGCCCCAAGCGUUACUGAGAAUCACUGGGUUUAAAGGGUGCGUAGGUGGUCCGUUAAGUCAGUUGUGAAAUCCCCGGGCUCAACCCGGGAACUGCUUCUGAUACUGGCGGACUUGAGGCCAGUAGGGGUCACUAGAACAGACGGUGGAGCGGUGAAAUGCGUAGAUAUCGUUUGGAAUGCCGGUGGCGAAGGCGGCAUCCUGGACCGAGAUUGACGCUGAGGAGCGAAAGCUAGGGGAGCAAACGGG